rnacentral:lncRNA from 1 species
AUAAAUAUUCGUGUAGUAAUAUGCCCUAACUUUUCUGUACGAAAGGAGACCGUAAAGACAGAGCAAACGAAACUUGAGGAUGAAGAUGAAGAUGUGUUGAUAAGAUCUGAUACGUAAAAUGCAUAAAACUUAAAUUUUCUCGGUAAAAAGUCACUUACUAUUAUUUCUCUUUCAAAACUGCCAUUAAGGAAACACGCAUUAAAAUACCCGUUUGGAAAAAAAAGGGGGGGGUCUCAACGGAAGAUUCCGUGGAACGUUCGGUCUGAUAUAUAUAUAUAUUUAGCCGUCAUGUUAAGAAUGUAAAUUAUUUGAAUUAAUAUGGGGAAGUUUGUUGAAAUGUUCGCGAUUAUGGCCAGAUAAUUGUUUUCCAUUGAUUUGUGACUAUAUAAUAAACUUUUGAGCUGCAAAAAAACCCAGUUUCCUUUAACGAAGCUAUCCAUUUGAUUUUUAUGGUGGGGGGGCUAGAAUAAAAUUAGAAAAAAUAGGCAGGACAGGAGUUUUGAGUAAAAAAAAGGCAGGAUGACACACUUGCAAAAAAAAAUAAGACAAUUUUGGUAAAAAAGUCAGGAUAAACUAAAAAAAAAAAAAGGCAGGACCAGAGACAUAUAAAGGAUACAAUGUAUUAUAUGUCUCUGGCAGGACCGAACACAGUGAAAAAUAAAAAAGCAGGACAGAGAUUACAGCUAAAAAAAGCAUGGGAUGGGAGGGGUUAGGUAAGUCCUGUAUUUUUAAAGUCCUGCCUUUUUUAUUUCUUAGCUUAUCCUGACUUUUUUACAAUAAUUGUCAUCCUGCCAUUUUUUUUAUUUUUUUUUGCCAAGUUACUCAUCCUGCCUUUUUUUUUUUACUCAAAAUCCUGUCCUGCCAUUUUUUUUCAAAUUUCAUCCUAGCCCCUAAUUAUGAUUGACUUAUUGCAACUGUAAAAGAGAGUACAAUAAAUUGAAAAAUAAAUUAAAAAAGGAUUUUUUUCAUUCCUUAAUAAAACAAAUAAAUGAGAUAAACCCAAAGAACACCAAAAAAUUUUGGGGAAGCAUUAAUAAUUACAAAAAAAAAGAAUAAUAAUUGUGAGCCUGCUAUUUCUGCCAAAGAAUGGGAGAUUCACUAUAGAAAUUUGCUUGCUUCAAGUAAUAAUGAUGAUACAACUGAUACAAAUCAAAAUAUAGAGAACAAAAAUCACAACUUUUCUAAUACAUCCCUUAAUGUCCCUAUUACACGUAAAGAAAUCAAAGACUGUAUUAAGAAGUUAAAAAAGGGAAAAUCUGGAGGUCCUGAUUUGAUAAUUAAUGAAUUUCUAAAGGUGUGGUCAAACACUCUAGUUUUACUUUUGACAAAACUUUUUAAUAAGAUACUUAACUCAGAAAAAUUCCCCAAAAUUUGGAACAUUUCUCUAUUGACAUCAAUUUAUAAAUCUGGUGACCCAUCUGAUUGUGGGAACUAUAGAGGUAUAAGCAUAACAAGCUAGCUGUCUUGGUAAAGUCUUUACAUCCAUUUUACAAAAACGACUUAGUGAUUUUCUUGAAACACAUAAUUUAUUAUUUUCAAAUCAAGGUGGUUUUAGAAAAAAAUUACAGAACUGUAGAUCAUGUCUUUAUUUUAAAAACAAUAAUAAACAAAUAUUUGUUUAAAUUUAAAAAGAAACUAUAUGUGUGUUUUGUAGAUUUUAAAAAGGCUUUUGACAGUGUCUGGAGAUCAGCUCUGUUCUUAAAAUUACAAAAUAAAGAAAUACAAGGCAAAUUUUAUAAUAUACUGCAUGACAUGUACUCUAAUACCUUAUAUUCAUGUAAAUAUCAAAAUAUGUUUACCAAGCCUUUUCUUGAUAAUCAGGGUGUCAAACAAGGUGACAGUUUAAGUCCAACUUUAUUUACUGUAAAUUCAGAAAUUAUUGGGAGGUUUUGAUUAUUGCGAAAAAUGCGACAGACUUGUAAACGCAAUAAUUUUAACUCGCAUUUUGAAAUCAUUGAUAUGAAUUAAACAGGAUUUUUCUCAAAAUCAUUAUAAUUAAAAUCGCAUUUAAGUCUAAAAUGACAAAAUCACAAUAAUAAAUGCACGCAAUAAUUUCUGAAUUUACAGUAAUAUAUUUGUUGAUGACAUAGAAAAAUACUUAGAUACAAACUUAACUAGUGCAGUAAAGGAGUAGGUUCAUUAAGACCCUUUUUUUGGCCCCAAAAUAUAGCAGUUUUAGAAAGUUGUGAAUAUGUAAUCGUUAAGAUAUUUAUCGAAAAGUAGAAUGCUUUUGCUACAUAAAUAUGGGCUGUUUUUGACAAUACAACGCACAUAAAUUGGGUACUAGCAUCAUCAAGUCAUGCUAAUUUUCUGAAAUCUUCACAAUUUGAUCAUUUAAGUUAAAUUUUAAACGGUUUCCGUCUUAAAUGGAAGUGGUCGCAUUCGUGUUCAUCCAUAAUAUUGAACUGUAAGUUGUAUUUGAUGAUAACACAUAUUAUAUAUAAAAGUUGAGGAUGAACACGGAUGCGGCCACUUUCAUUUUAGACAAAAACCAUCUGAAAAGUGACUAUUUUUGACAUAUUUGAUAGAUUUUUCAUAUUUAAGCUUGAAUUGGAGAUACUUAGUUAACUAUACUAAUGAACAAUUGAAAUAAACUUGAGUGUUUAAAAAGUGUUAACGUUAGAUGAAGAAAAUUUGAAAUCAGCCUUAAAUUUAAAUGGUCAAAAAGUGAACCAUUUAUUGUAUGCUGAUGAUUUAUUAUUGAUAUCGGAAUAUGCAGAUGGUCUCCAGAACUCUCUUGAUUCUUUACAAAAACAUAGUACUGAAUGGAAACUGGACUUGAACCUUAAGAAAACAAAAAUUAUAAUUUUCUCUAAAACUAAAAGUAAAUUAAAAAAACGUUUACUUUUAUUACAGUUCUAAUGCAAUUGAAAUUGUUGAUUGUUAUAAAUACUUAGGAGUUGAUUUUCAUAGCUCUGGAAAAUUUAUACAAGCAGUGUCAAGCCUCUCAGAUAAAGCUAAAACAGCAUAUUUUGCAUUGAAGUCAAAACUACCAUAUAGUGAAAAUUUGUCUGUUAAGACUUGGCUCCAGCUUUUUAAUUCAAUGAUAACUCCUAUUUUAACUUAUGGAUCAGAAGUAUGGUUAUCAGAAUUCAAACCAAAUUUUGAAGCAUUUAUAGACAAAAGUAAAUUAGACAAAACACAAAACUCCAUAUUUAAAAACAUACUUGUGGUUCAUGGAAAGUCUUCCAAUCUAGCAGUGCGAUGUGAAGUAGCAUUCAUCAAAAGUUCUGAAGGAAUCACAUAGUGCUUAACUUAAUUAAUUGAUUGACCAAUAGGGAUAUAUUAAAAUCGAUUGAGAUUAACAAAAUUGCAGCAAUUUGCAAACUACUUGAUUUAAGUUUUUUAUCCUACAUCGACUUUGAUGUCGUUAAAUGUUAUCAACUUAUGUAUAAAUAUUAUGAGCGUCUCAGUAAUAUUGGUGAACAGUCUGGUGGUCCGCAUGAAAUUUUCAAGGCUGCUUUUGAAGUGGACAAAACUCUCACAAAUAGAGAAAAUUCAUGGUCUUAUAAACUAUCUGAAUUAAUGAAAUAUAUUGCAAUACCAUUUAAAAAGCAUUGUAAUAGUAAUUUCAAACAGAAACUAGAAGAUUUCUACAAAAAUAAAAUUAUAUUUGAACUUUCUAAAAUAAAAGAUGGACACUGUGGUAAACUUUUAUUUUUUAGUAAAAUUUAAACAACAAGAAUAUUUAAAUUUUAAUAUUCCUAAAUACCUUUAACCCUUUCCUCCAUAAUGACGCCUUUUGACGCCACCCCCCUUACUCAAUAAUGACGCCUUUUGACGCCUUUGUAGUACCUCAGUUGAAACACUUUGACUACAAAGUGUCUGCAGUUGACUUAAUAAAAUUGGUAUCCAUUAUGAAAAGGAAUAUCAUAGGAAUAUAUAUAUAUCCGACUCAAAUUUAUUUGAUGAAAUAGUUGUUUUUCGCAAUGCCUUAAUACUUUAAAGCAUAUGUUCAGCAUUUUAUCAAAAAAAUCCUAUGCGAAUCAAGUAUGCAAAAAAAAAAAAUUCAAUGGAGGAAAGGGUUAAUUGAAAAAAACUCACUAAAUUAAGAAUAAUGCACACUCAUUAGCAAUAGAAAACUGGGAGGUAUGCAAGACCAAAAAUACCAUCUAAUGAGAGAUUUUGUAAAUUUUGCACAGGAAAAAUUGAAAAUGAGAUUCAUUUCUUGAUUGAAUGUCUGCAAUAUAACAAAAUUAGAUCUAAAUAUAAAAUUAAUGAUAUAAAUUUAAAUAAUUUGGAUGAAAAUUUUACCAAAAUGUUAAAUCCUAUGUCUGAAAAGGAAUUAAAAUCUAUUUGUAUGUAUAUUGAAGAAGCUCUUGAUUUGAGAGACCACCAUACCGUUUCAUCAGAUAAUAAUCCUUGACAGUAGUUUGUCCAUAUACAUAUAUAUAUAUAAAUAUCUUAUAUUGUGUGUUUUAAGUAAAUAUAUGAAAAUCUAGAAUAAUACUGAAAUAUAAGUCUAUGGUAUCAAUAUCAGUUUUAUAAUGUAUUUGUAUACAUAGAAUUGGCUUGACUUGUUCCAUGAAUCUUUAUUUCAUUUGUGUGUUGUUUUAAUAUUAUUAAUUAUCUGUAUUUGGAUCACGCCUCUAUUGAGCUCUUUCCAAUAAAAUAUUGAAUUGAAUUGAAUAAACAGGAAUCUCGGGAGGGGGCACUUCCUAUACAUAUAAGGUGUCAGCUGGGAACAGUAUAUUUAAUACAUGUACACAUGUUCCCAAUGCAUAGUCGGAUCCUUGCCCCCCCCCCCCUUUCGUGGGAAAAAAUUGGUUUAUCAGAGGCGGAUUUAUCAUUUAGGAGGGGGCCUUCCCCCCCCCUUUUUUUGGGAAAAAUUUGGUUGCUUAUAUAGGAAAUCACUGAAGCGUGACUGGAGCGGCCCCCUCUUAGGUCAGUCAGUGGGCCCCCACUUAUGAAAAUUUUUGGAUCCGCCACUGUUUAUAUAUAGGGAAUCAUUGAAGCAUGACUGUAGCUUAAAUUUCACAUUAUUAUACAGUUUUCCAUCAGAAGCUUUAUUUUGGCUAGCAUACCAAUUGCUAAUAUAUUUAGUGUGAAUUAAUUUGCUAGAUAUGUUCAAAAAUUUAUAUUGUCCGAAAUGUUUUACUUCUUGUUUAAUUUCAAAAACUUUUUCUACUAGCAAAUGAGAACUGGCAGAAGAAGUUAUGUUAGAUUUGUGAAGCUCUUGGCUGCAUUUAUAAGCAUCUUUCAAUAGACUGAAUUCAGUUGUAAGAUUUUCAAAUCUAUACCAGUAUUUUACAAUUGACUUUACAAUAUCAUAAUGUAAGGGGAAAAGACUGAAGUGGGGACCCCCUCUUAGGCAGUCUAUGGGCCCCCUCUUAUGAAAAUUUCUAGAUCCGCCAUUGUUUUCUAGUUUAAAAAUAUGUGAAUAGGUGUUGAAAAUAUUAAGAAAUAUAUUAAGUCAACAAAUUAAAAAGAAAAUGUGGUACACUGUAUGAUUGCCAAUGAGACAACUCACUAUUAUGUUUCUAGAUAGGCAGAAUCAGGGGGCCCGGUCUGACAACACCUUUUGUUAGAAAAAUUUAGUUGAUUGUAUAGGGAAUGACUCGAGUAGGGACCCCCUCUUAGGCAGUAAAAGGGCCCCCUCUUAUGAAAAUUUCUAGAUCCACCAUUGAUUUCUAGUUUAAAAAUAUGUGAAUAGGUGUUGAAAUAUUCAGAAUAUUAAGUCAACAAAUUAAAAGGAAAAUAUGGUAUACUGUAUGAUUGCCAAUGAGACAAAUCUAGUCUCUAGACAAUAGACACAAUUACAUUAGAAAUUAACAACUUUAGGUCACUGUAUGGCCUUCAACAAUGAUAAAACCAGAAACUACUAUAAGUUACAAUAAGGAGGCUCGAGGGUACAUGUAUAAAAAUUUAAGAGAAAAAUAAACAUUUAUUUUUUCAUUACAAAGGAGUAGAUUCAGUAAGACCCCUUUUUGGCCCCAAAAUAUAGCAGUUUUACAAAAUUGUGAAAAUGUAAUCCUUAAGCUAUUUAUUGGAAAGUAGCAUGCUUCUGCUAAAUAAAUAUAGGAUGUUUUUGACAAUACAAUGCAUAUAUCAGGUACUACAUGUAGCAUCAUUAAGUUAUGCUAAAUUACUGAAAUCUUCAAAAUUUUAGAUUUUUUGGUAAAUUUUAGACGGUUUCUGUCUUAAAUGAAAGUGUAAAUUUUCCCCUUACAUUAUGAUAUUGUAAUUAUUCGUGUUCAUUUAUAAUAUUGAAAUGUUAAUUAUACCCCAUGCAACGAGUUGCGGAGGGUAUAAUGUUUUUGACCUGUUCGUCCGUCCGUCAGUCCUGUUUCUUGUCAUCACAACUCCUUUCAAACCAUGCAUCAGAAUUUCAUGAAACCUUUUCAGAUAAUAAGGACAUACUAUGUAGUUCUGCAUAUCGACGGGAAAUUGUGAUUCAAUUUUUUUUCUAGGAGUUACGCCCCUUUGAACUUAUUUGCUUCAAUGUACUUCUGCAACAGUUUGUCAUCUCAACUCCUCUGAAACCACACAACAGAAUUUCAUGAAAUUUUGUAGAUAAUAAGGACAUACUAUUUAGAUGUGCAUAUUGGCAGGAAAUUAAUUUUUCUUAUACAAUUUUUUUUUCUUACACUAAUUUAAUUUCUCCAAUGACAAUGUGGGGACGUGGGGUAUGUGAGUGUGCUCACUAAGGUUCUUUAAUUGUAUUUAAUGAUAAUACAUAAUAUAUAUAUACAUGUAAAGGUUGAGGAUCACAGAUGCGGCCACUUUCAUUUUUUGACAAAAACCAUCAGAAAAGUGACAUUUUUUGGCAAAUUCAAUAGAUUUUUCAUACGAAAGCUUGAAUCUGAGCGUUUUUAAUGACUAAGUCAGUCAAAAUCUUUCACAUUAACUAAUUGAAUCAAUUGAAAUAGACAGUUAAGAGUUUAAAAAGUGUCCAAAAUCUUUCGUUAGAUGAAUUUGAAAUUUGAGGCCAAAAUCGGAACCUUUACCUACUUCCUUUUUUUUUCAACCUUUUUGUUACUACCUUAUCAUAUGGUACAAAAAUAAUUUAAAAAAAAUCAAUUUUUGAUGGCCUCAGAUGAAUUGUAAAAUGUAGAUAUCAUUAAAAUUGCUCAAAAUUAUCUCCCUUUGGUAUAAAAAUGCCAUUUUUGGAACUCAUCCGUGACCUUUAUUUUUUAUUAUUAUUUUCAAUUAAGCUGUUCUUAAACUAAACUAUUGUAAAAUUUGAGCGAUUUCUGUAAUUAAGUUCUCUUAUUUCGGUAUUACCUCUAUUUCUGCUAUUAGUUCAACAGAAAAAAGGUACCUUUACAAAAAUGUAUGCUUCUUUCGAAGGCAGGUUGUGAACGGUGACCCCAUUUUUUUUUUAUUAAGUAUAAGAUUUAAGUACGUUUAUCAUUUUUACAGAAACAAUUUUUCCUUGUAGAUGUUGCAGAUACAUUCAUACAAAUGAUGUUGAAGAAACAAAGAGAAAAGGAACUUGGACUGUACCAUUUUGUUUGCAGCUUCUAAGGUGAAGUAUACUUAUUUAAAUGUUUUGUAAAAAUAAGAAGAUGUGGUAUGAUUGUAAAUGAAACAACUCUCCAUGAGAGACCAGUGAGACAAAAAUUAACAACCAUAGGUAACUGUACAUCCUUCAACAAUGAGCUAUACAACGUCAAGGACUUGAAAUUACCAAUGAACAACUUAGGGCCUGAUUUAUUAACAAAACAUUGAACGAUAAACUGUUAUGAUAUACAGCAACAAACUACUGAAUUACAAGCUCCUGAAUUGAGACAGACACAUGGAGUUUGUAAAACAUUAAAAAUGGUUGCUGGCACGAAACCCUCCUUCUAACCUNNNNNNNNNNNNNNNNNNNNNNNNNUGGUGCAACAUUUCAACUAGCAACUAUAAAAAUCAUUUGAAAAGGGCUUAAUUUCAAGAUCAAUACAAAGCCAAGCACAAUAAAAAAUCCUAAAACAAAAACACAUGAAAACACAAUCUGGAAUUUAUAGCAGUUACUGAAAGCAUGUUCUUAAUAAAUGAAAUUUAUAUUCCUUGUCCUUACACAAUGGACUGAAUUUCUCUUAAGGGAUACCGUACAGUUUUGAUCCUGUAUUUACAAGUUCGUGAAAAUUUUGCAUAUAGGCUAUUUUCUUACUGAUUAAAUCAAAUAUAUGAUAAAAAAUAUUACCUUCAUGUGCUACUUUUUGAGAAAAAUGAGGUCGAAAUUUUGUAUAUUUGCUCAAAAUUCAGAUAUGUGCCGUAUUUUCUUUUUUCGAAAAAAGACAUAUUUUUUUUGUUAUAAAAAGAUAAACACAAAUUGUUUUUUGUUAAAGUCAUAUGAAACGAGUGAGUGGUGAAAAAUAAUGUUUGUCCAAUUCUUGAACCAAUGAUGUAUACAUUCAUAAACUUAGUCCUAUGUGCACGAUUUUAUCAUUAUUUUCGCAAUAUAUAUCAUAAAUCGCCAAUUUUUUUCCUCUCUGUUAUGAUUGGAACAAAUAGGUCUCAUUAAAUGCCAUGAUUUGAAGCCGAGUUAACCGAUUGUCACCUUAGUAAAACAAAUCACAAAAAGCAUGGGUAUUGAGCACGUGUUUAACAUGUAUAAUCAGAUAAUUGUUUAUUUCAAUGAAAGAUCCAUGCGAUUGUGGUCACCGGAUUUUUACGAGGAGGUUACGCUCGGUCACUAUGCAUACGGAAAAUAUGUCGGCAAAUUGCUUCUGGCAGCAAGCAAUUUAAAAUAAGUACUCUUCUUCUUAAAUGUUAGACAAAUUAAAAGAAUUUUUCAGAAAAAAGUAUAUAUGUACAUAAGUUGUUUAAUGAAAACUAACCAUUAGUUAUAAAAAAAAUAUGCAUUAUUUUUUUUUAAUUGAGGUUUCUAUUGACUUUAUAAUCGUAAUUUCUUUAUUUAUAAGUAUCCAUAAAAUUAUGCAUUUUUAUUCCGAAAAUAAUCGUAUUAUAAAUGUUCAUGAAUUGGGAAAAAUAUGUCAUUUUUGCUUUAUGUUUAUUAAAAUUAAAAAAAAUCCUAAAUUGUGUCACAUAUCUCCCUGCAAAUUGAAAGUCAAACAAAUUGCUGUAGUUUUGAAAAAAUGGGUUCCAAUGAACUCGUUUUCAAAUAAAUUCAGUUUGAAUGAUCAAAAUCAGUCAGAAAAAUGCAUUUUUCCCUGGUAUGUUAAAGUUUGGUGUCGCGAAAAAUAACAUUUGCAUUAGCAACGUCAUUACCUCCUCUGUAACUGUAUCGUAUGCCCUUAAAGCUAACCUAGACCUAUAAAUGAAUGAUUAUAGCCAUCACUUGAUGUCAUCUAAACAAAUAGCAUAUAGAUGGAGAGAAAUUUUAGUUUAAGUCGCAAAAAUGAUCAACAAGAAAAGAUCAUCAAUAAGUAUCAUGAAUGGUUGAAAUUGUCAGUCAAUUCCUAAUUAUUUAAUAAUUAGCCACAGAGUUUUUGUUAGGUCUAGUUUUAAUUAGGAUUUUAUUGUAGAUAAAGGAGAUAAAUUUCCUCUGUGACAAAAAUGUUUGAGAGUCGGAAAGUUUGACUGAAGAUUAAG